AAGCAGUGAUGAUAAACAAUAUUUGCUAUCUGUAAAAAUGUUGAUGACAUUUAAUCUACCACCUAGAUCUCUGAGCUU